rnacentral:misc_RNA from 1 species
CUUAUUUGUGCAACCUUGGCCAAAUCAAAAGGAAGUGCAAAAGAGAUUUUUGGUUCAUUCAAGAUAAUUUUGAUCAAGUUGUUUGUGUGGACAAGCUAGAAGAUCAACAAUUGGUGAUCUUCACUACCUAGAUUAGGUGUUAGAAUUUGAUUCUGCGCCUUAAGGGUAAAAUCCUUAAACUUUAAUUGUUAAUUUUUAAGGCUUUUGUUUCUUAAUGGCAAUUAAGUAUGUUAGCAAUUAAAAUAUAAUCUCGUGUUGCAUGAAACCCUAGGUAUGAGAAAUUUUAAAUUGCUAAUUUUACACCCCUUGGUGUUAUUUUCUUCCAAUUGGUAUCAGAACCACCCUAAUUUGCCAUUAGGAAACUUAAUUUGCCACCCUAAUAUUAGGCCUUACAAAUAUCCCCAUUAUUAGAAGGCAGAGAUUGAAAAAUUGAUAAAAG